UUCUGGUGGGAGAAGGGCCCACCCCCACCUCAACGGCUGCCUGCAGUAAUUGGGCUCCGUAGCUCUCUUAACACUUGGAUUUGAUUUUCCAGGGAAGAGCGGCCAAGUUCCUGUGCAUGGGUGCUCCAUUUCCAAGCAUCCCUUCCUUUUGAUUUCACUUCUCUUUAGGCUCUAGCCUAAUGCAGGGAGACAGUGUGGCUUUUGAUGCCAGUAAUCUUGGAACUCUUUGCUCCUCCACUGCAAACUGGGCUCUUUCAGGAAGACUUUUGUGGGCUCCGAGUACAGGAAGCUUUUUCCCUGAAGAGUUGUGAACAUCUUUCCUUAUCAAAAGAAAAUCAUCUCAUAAUUGUCGUCAGUCACUUAAUAAAACUUAAGCAUGCUUAUCACAGCUCCCUGUUCAUAUCCUUUAUGGCACAAUGUUUAGUCUUCAUUCAGGAACUGAGCUGUGUGUGCAUUUGUGGUCUCUCUCCCCGGGGGUGUGCAGGCUGCAUGAGAGUGUGGCUCUUGUCCGCCCACGUGGCUGUAGCGUCACUGGCACGAAGCACACUGCCGGACGCAGAGAGGCACCAUGUUCUUCCUCUAUUGUUGCAUAACAAACUACUGUGGGUUUAGUGGACACACACAGCAUCCACUUACUAUUCCACGGUGCUGUAGGUAGGUCAGAAGUUCAGAUGGGUGCAAUGGGGCUUUCUACUUUGGAUCUCAUGAAAGCAAAAUCAAGGUAGACCUGGCUGGACUUUAACGGGAAGGCUCUAGGGAUGUAUGCACUCCAAGCUCGCUCAGCUUAUUGGCAGAUUUCAGUUGCUUGUGGUUCUGGAACCGAGGUUGCUGUCUCCUUGCUGGCGGUGAGCUGGCGGUCCUCUCACAUCUGAAAGGACUCUCGCAGGUCUUCACCCCUUGGCCUCUCCACCUCAGCGCAGUGACUCUUACGAUAUUUCACAAUUCACUCACUUUCU
rnacentral:lncRNA from 1 species